rnacentral:siRNA from 1 species
CAUGGAGUGACUGUUGUUGGA